rnacentral:rRNA from 1 species
GAUGAACGCUGACAGAAUGCUUAACACAUGCUAGUCUUUGGCGAAUCUGUGCUUGCACAGGCUAGCCAAGGCGGACGGGUGAGUAACGCGUAAAGAACUUGCCCUGCAGACAGGGAUAACAGACGGAAACGACUGAUAACACCUGAUACAGUUGCCGGCACGCAUGUGCCUGGCAAUGAAAAGAGAUGCUGCAGGAGAGCUUUGCGUCCUAUUAGCUUGUUGGUGAGGUGACGGCUCACCAAGGCGAUGAUAGGUAGCCGGCCUGAGAGGGUGAACGGCCACAAGGGGACUGAGAUACGGCCCUUACUCCUACGGGAGGCAGCAGUGGGGAAUAUUGGACAAUGGGGGCAACCCUGAUCCAGCAAUUCUGUGUGCACGAAGAAGGUUUUCGGAUUGUAAAGUGCUUUCAGCAGGGAAGAAGAAAGUGACGGUACCUGCAGAAGAAGCGACGGCUAAAUACGUG